AUACCGGCGGCUCGAGUGGUGGCCACUAUUACUGGGCUUAAAGCGUCCGUAGCUGGACUGUUAAGUCUCUUGGGAAAUCCACCGGCUCAACCGAUGGGCGUUCAGGAGAAACUGGCAAUCUAGGGACCGGGAGAGGUGAGAGGUACUCCAGGGGUAGGAGUGAAAUCCUGUAAUCCUUGGGGGACCACCUGUGGCGAAGGCGUCUCACUAGAACGGCUCCGACAGUGAGGGACGAAAGCUGGGGGAGCAAACCGGAUUAGAUACCCGGGUAGUCCCAGCUGUAAACGAUGCGCGUUAGGUGUAUCGGUGACCACGAGUCAUCGAGGUGCCGAAGGGAAACCGUGAAACGUGCCGCCUGGGAAGUACGGUCGCAAGGCUGAA
rnacentral:rRNA from 1 species